UUCACUUCUCAAAAUGAGGUUCCCUGCUCAGCUCUUUGUACUGCUAAUGCUUUGGUUUCCUGGAUCCAGCGGGGAAAUUGUGAUGACACAGACCCCACUGUCCCUGCCCAUCACCCCUGGAGAGCCGGCCUCCAUCUCCUGCAAGGCCAGUCAGACCCUCCUGUACAGUAAUGGAAAAACCUAUUUGCAUUGGUACCUGCAGAAGCCAGGCCAAUCCCCACAGCUCCUGAUCUACGAGGUUUCCAACCAUUUCUCUGGGGUCUCAGACAGGUUCAGUGGCAGCGGGUCAGGGACAGAUUUCACGCUGAGGAUCAGCAGGGUGGAGGCUGAUGAUGUGGGAGUUUAUUACUGUGGGCAAACUACAGAGUAUCCUCCACAGUGCUUCAGACCCUAA